UACAGAGGGUGCAAGCGUUAUUCGGAAUUACUGGGCGUAAAGCGUGCGUAGUCGGUUAUCUAAGUCGGGUGUGAAAUCCCCGGGCUCAACCUGGGAAUUGCAUUCGAUACUGGAUAGCUAGAGUUCGGCAGAGGGAAGCGGAAUUUCGGGUGUAGCGGUGAAAUGCGUAGAUAUCCGAAGGAACAUCAGUGGCGAAAGCGGCUUCCUGGACCAGAACUGACGAUCAGGCACGAAAGCGUGGGGAGCAAACAGG
rnacentral:rRNA from 1 species